CGCAGGAGACGGGCUGGUUCCGCCCCCUCAGGCAGCGCGCAAGGGGCGGGGCUUCCACUCCGCUCACGCCUCAGGCGGCCUCGUUCUGACAACCAGACCACGCCCCCUGACUAGCGCUUAUCUCCAGCCAUUGGGACGUCAUGGCCGCGCGGGUCGCGCACCGAUGACAUCAUCAGGGCGACGGUUCCCCUCGUCGUAGUGGCAUACGGAGCCGUACAUUUUACGACAAUGCCGGAAAAGAAACAGUCAUCUCUCACCUGCCGGGUCGGUGGCUGCAAUGCAACAGGUUCAGUAAUGACAGACCCAGCAGCAGCAGGUAAUCUCAGUGACCCCGUUUGGCCUGAUCCCCACCGCCCCCUCCUUCAACAAAUGAGCAAUGACAACACUCCAUUAAAAUGAUCCAGUACAGUG